CAUUUUGGGAAGCCGACGUGGGUGGAUCACCUGAGGUCAGGAGUUCGAGACCAGCCUGGCCAACAUGGUGAAACUCUGUCUCUACUAAAAUACAAAAAUUAGCCGGGCGUGGUGGCAGGGGCCUGUAAUCCCAGCUACUCAGGACGCUGAGGCAGGAGAAUCGAUUGAACCUGGGAGGCGGAGGUUGCAUUAGCCAAGAUUGCGCCAUUGCACUCCAGCCUGGGCAACAAGAGAGAAACUCCAUCUCAAAGAAAAAAAAAAGAAAGAAAGAAAAAGAAAAGAAAAGGUCUUCAUGGUCCUACGAGGAAGACUGGCUUCCAUGAAGCAAGGAACGUGGCUGACUGUCUACACUUGCGCUAACAAUAGCUCGGGAAAGAAAACACAGUUUUUGUGCAUGAUUUUCUGACCCUCACCAAACUUGGGCGGAUGGCUACGGGCAGGGUUUCUUAUAAAGCUGCUCGUUUCCCCGGGUGCCGAAAAGGAAUUCAAACAGAGGCCUUUUCUGUUCUUGUAACUUGCUGACCCACAUGGGAAGUAGCCACCCCCCCAGUACCCUGACAUUCCCACCCAGCCACCAGGCAGCAGCAGCCGCUGGGCUCUCUGACUGCAGCCCACAGCGAGAGACGAAUUUCAUGCUGUGAUCCAGAACAUACACACAAGCACCCGCACACACAGGUGCAUUUGUAUGUGUUACUUUCUCCUGGAUCCCCAGUGCCUGCCACACAGUAGCUGCUCAACAAGUAUCUACUGAGUGAGUGAGUGAAUAGAAUAAUGCGUUUGGAAAUACACGGUUGACACUAAAGUUUGAUGGGACAAUGCUCACCUUACUACGUGCCUUCUGUUGAGUUUCCCAGUCCAUUAAUGGGUCACAACUCAAAGUCUGAACAACACUGCUGUGAAGCCCCCAUCUUAAGGGGCAUGUGGAUUUAGUCCUGAGAUACAGAUGCUGAUGUAACUGCAUUUGGA
rnacentral:lncRNA from 1 species